CACGUAGGGACCGAGCGUUGUCCGGAUUUAUUGGGCGUAAAGAGCUCGUAGGCGGUCGCGUAAGUCGGGUGUGAAAUCUCCAGGCUCAACUUGGAGGGGCCACCCGAUACUGCACGACUCGAGUCCGGUAGGGGAGUGGGGAAUUCCUGGUGUAGCGGUGAAAUGCGCAGAUAUCAGGAGGAACACCGGUGGCGAAGGCGCCACUCUGGGCCGGUACUGACGCUGAGGAGCGAAAGCGUGGGGAGCAAACAGG
rnacentral:rRNA from 1 species